UGGUAUUCCACAUAUUGUCUAGUUCCUUACCGUACCACGUUAAUUACCAAUUAUUGGUUAUUGAGAUUCCUAGGCAAGGCAGAUUAAUAUUUAGGAAUAGAUAUUACCUCUCUUUUUAACCUUUCAAAUAAAAAAAAAAAUAAAUAAAAUUCAAAUGAUUGAAGUCUUUCUAUUUGGAAUCGUCUUAGGUCUAAUUCCUAUUACUUUGGCUGGAUUAUUCGUAACCGCCUAUUUACAAUACAGACGUGGUGAUCAGUUGGACCUUUGAUUAAUUAACAUCUCUUUUUUUAACUGACCCCUCCCUUCUUUAAUUUAAUCCGAGGGGGAGGUCAGGGUCAAAUUCAGAUUGCUGUUCAAUUAUUUCAGUUCAGUGUGUAUGGUUUUAGAUCUAAGACGACAAGAGCGGAAUCACGCUCUGUAGGAUUUGAACCUACGACAUUGGGUUUUGGAGACCCACGUUCUACCGAACUGAACUAAGAGCGCUUUCUUAUCACAACGAAAAAGGCUGGAAAUAAGGAGAUUCUCUUUUUUUACCCCAACAAUUCUUGUAUGUGUAUACUAUCAUAUAUCAUAAAAUAGAAAUUUAUGUAUGUCAAAAUGAAAUCGAUCGAAAAAAAAAAAAAAAAAAGAUCUCGCGUUACUGCUGCUCUGAGCGGUAAUUGGUAGGGAUGACAGGAUUUGAACCCGUGACAUUUUGUACCCAAAACAAACGCGCUACCAAGCUGCGCUACAUCCCUUUCAAUUGGCCUACAAUAUCAUUGUAAAGAAUCCCUGUCUUGUUUUCCACAUCCUUAUUUUUUAUUCCCUCUAGUGAUAUGCAAAAUGGAUCUUGCCUUUUCUUGUUUUUGGUCUCAUAUCAUAUACCAUAUAAUAAUAAUAAAUUAUUAUUUUUCUUGGGAAUUCGCAGGUGUAAAGUGACCCUUUUUCUGUUUUAAGAAAAAAAAAAAGAAAAUCAAAUCUUAUAUACCGAAUCAUUGCGCAUUUCAAUUUGAAUUAGGGAUUCCGCGCACAAAUACAAGUGGGCCUUUAACUACAUAUACAUCUCUUACCAUAAUAUAUUCCAAUAGGGAAUACAAAAACAAAAAAGAAGGAGGAUUUUCAAUGCGAGAUCUAAAAACAUAUCUUUCCGUGGCACCGGUACUAAGUACUCUAUGGUUCGGGUCUUUAGCAGGGUUAUUGAUAGAAAUCAACCGUUUAUUCCCCGACGCAUUGACAUUUCCUUUUUUUUUCAUUCUAGUUAUUGAACUGGAACGGGGUGAAGAAGAUUAGAGCUAGAAUCAAAUAUUUGUGACUAAUCUCUCUUUCCCCUCUUUUCGUUUUUUUGUUUUACAAUUAGAAAGAAGGAAAGCGAAAGAAAAAAGGUGGCUUCAACCUCAGCGAAACCCGGGUUCAGGCUCCGAUUAAAUUAAUUAUUAAUUAUCCAGUUAAAAGCAAAUAGACAGGUAAAAGAAAACGGAAAUCGAAAUAUGGCUAGGGUAAGAGUAUCCUCCACUACAAGAUCCUUAAAUGAAAUACUGGACUGCGAUUUAGCAAUAUAGUUAGAAAUUCUUGUAUUACUUAUUAUUUUUUAUUUUGAUUUCCUAUUUAUUUACUAUAUUGAUUGCAAUAAAAUCUUUAUUUCAUAAGUUUUUUUUGAGUGGUUAGCAACUUCUAUUUUUUUGUCCCGUGCUUCUUAUUCGUUGCGGGUCGGAAAAUAGAAAAGUUGGGUGAAUCAAAAACCCCAAGGAGGUUCAUGGCCAAGGGUAAAGAGGUCCGAGUAAGGGUUAUUUUGGAAUGUACUAGUUGUGUUCGAAACGGUGUUAAUAAGGAAUCAAGGGGUAUUUCCAGAUAUAUUACUCAAAAGAAUCGACACAAUACACCCAGUCGAUUGGAAUUGAGAAAAUUCUGUCCCUAUUGUUACAAGCAUACACUUCAUGGGGAGAUAAAAAAAUAGAUAGAGUCAAGCCGCGUGCUUUUGUGUCACCCUUCCAAGGGACAUGAAAAACUAAUCUAGAUAUAUAUCUAGAUUAUUUCAUAUAUUUUAAUAAAAACAAAUAAAUAAAUCUAGACAAACCAAAUCCUAUAAUGGAUUCUAUAAAUCAUUUUUUGAUUUCAUCGAAAUGGGAUUUUAGGGAUAAGGAAUAAACAAAUUAUGGAUAAAACCAAGCGACUCUUUCUUAAAUCCAAGCGAUCUUUUCGUAGGCGUUUGCCCCGAUCCAAUCGGGGGAUCGAAUUGAUUAUAGAAACAUGACUUUAAUUAGUCGAUUUCUUAGUGAACAAGGAAAAAUAUUAUCUAGACGGGUGAAUAGAUUGACCUUAAAAGAACAACGAUUAAUUACUAUUGCUAUAAAACAAGCUCGUAUUUUAUCUUCGUUACCUUUUCUUAAUAAUGAGAAACAAUUUGAAAGAAGUGGGUUGACCGCUAGACCUCCCGGUCUUAGAACCAGAAAAAAAUAGGCUUACUCUUCAAUUAAAUAAAAAUUCCAAUCUGAACUCAAACACAGAUGGAUGUUUUGUUCAAAAAAUCUGUGAAGCAGCCGUGCCGUAAGAAAAAAAAAAAAAAAGAAUUGGGAAAGAAGAAUAAAAUCAAUCUUUUUUUUUAUUGAGCGUGUUCGCUCAUUUUGACGACUUUAUCAUAUUAUUUCUACUCUACCUUCCUCUUACUGGAGUUCAUUCUCCAGAGAACUCCGUUUAAAAAUUAUAAUGGAUUCCUUCCAAUUUCCUUAUUUUAUAAUCUCAUUGGAAAUCAUAUAAAGACAAUUCCUAUUUGAUAUAGCUAUUUGUGCAAGUAUCUUACGAUUAAGAACCAACUGCGCCUUAUACAGAUUGUAUAUUAAUCUACUAUAACUAUAGGAUACCAGAUUUCCGCGAAUUACUGCAUUUAUUCGGGUGAUCCACAAACGACGAAAAUCUCUUUUUUUCCUAUCUCUAUCGCGAUGAGCCGAAACCAAAGCUCUUAUUUUCUGUUGAGUAAUUGUUCGGCUAAGUCGUGAAUGAGCCCCGCGAAAGCUUGAUACAAAUAAACGCAUUUUUGUUCUACGUCUCCGAGCUAUAUAUCCUCGUCUAAUUCUGGUCAUUGAAUAAAUGAAACUUUGAUGAAUAACUAAUUGAUUUCCUUUCUUUCAGUUAUUCUUUUCCCCUUUCCUAGUCUAUUAAUAACAAAACGGACUCUUCCAAUUUAUAAAAUCAAAAUUCCAAUGGCUUUUGCUACUCUAACCUUCCCGACCACGCUUUUACCUUUUGUCGAGGCAUUGGAAAGAAAAUAGUAAAAAAAAAACGAAAGUAGUAAAUAGAUAAAGAAAUUGUGGGUUCCGUCGUCUCUAUGAUUACUUCUUAAACGGUGAGGCCCUCUCUAUACACCGGAGCCACUUCCUUCAUUUAAUCAAUUCUAUUGGUAACUUGUACAGUUACCACUCUUCGGCUCUACCCAUGAAUUUUCUAGUAAUAGGUCUUUCAUAACGAGAUAGACCUUAUACAGUAACGGUAUUUAAUUAUGAAGAUUGGUGGGGUAGCUGACCUUGUUAGUCCGUUCUUGCAAGAGUAGAAAGAUAAUCUUUCUGCUUUUUUAUAGUAUUUCCCCCGCUUAAUGGAUAACUAUUUGUUACCAAUGGGGAAUUCUUUCUCACCUUAAAUUAAUUGCAAAUUGAGGUGGUGGAAUUUGCGCCAGUGGAAACCAUAAAUUUCAUACACAAUAGAAAGAUAUGAUAGAUCGAUCUUUUUUUAGAUAGUGAAUGGAGUUCUUCUUCUUCUAUUCUAUCCGAUUCACAGGUACUGAUCAUUGAUACUUAAAAAAGGGUUUCUUUCUUUUGGUUUGUCUCAGCCCAUGAUUGAAACGAGUCGCACAUACACCCUUGUACAUGUUCCUCGGCGCUGAGGACAUCCCCGCAGAGCGGGGGAUUUGGUAACAUUUCUAAUUGGCUGUCUUGGGUUUCUAAUAAGUUGUUUAAUAGUUGGCAUGCUGAAUUAUCCAUUAUGGGCUGGUUUAGAUCGAUCCUAACCGGAUGAUUAUGAAUUUCUUCUGUUUAAUAGAAUAUUAAACCCUUAAGAAGUGACUGCUAUGUUUUAUCCAACCGCUACAAGAUCAACAAGUCCAUGAGCUUGGGCUUCUGUUGCUGACAUAAAAGUAUCCCUUUCCAUGUCUUCGGAUACAACCCAUAAGGGCUUGCCCGAUCUUUGUACAUAAACCAUUGUAAGGAUUUCGCGCAGUCUCAGUAGUUCUUCCGUAUCCAGGAUAAAUUCUCCCGUUUGUGCCCCAUAAAAAGCGCCAAUAGGUUGAUGGAUCAUGACCCUGAUGAUAUAUUAUAACAUAAUAAAAGGUUCCUCUAUCUCGCACGAUUCGGCGAGGGGAAGAGAUAAAGAAAAAGAUAGAAUUGAACAACCGUACGGGCACUUUUUCGCAUUGCAUACGGCUCGCCAAUGGAAUUUGCUUUUUACCCUUCAUCAAACAAGGAUAAAAAGGGGUUCUAUUAUACCCAGAUGGGUAAAUGAUCCAAUUACCACCCUUCUUUUUUUUUUGAGGAGUUCAAAAAUACUAUGAUGGCUCCGUUGCUUUAUAUAUUUAUUUUUUUUGUGAUUCAGCAAUCCCAAAGUUUCUUUUUUUUUUUUUCAAAUCAAAAUCAAAAAAGAAAUAAAUCAAAAAUAAUCUUCUUUUUUGAUUUUCGUACUCUUUCAUACCAUAAAUCUUGUUAAUUGUUAAUUGUUAAGAACCUUUCGGCGUGAAAAAGGUGUGUGGCGCUGCAAUAGGCCUCCGAUAGGUAAGAUAAACUCGGAAUACCCCUUCUUUAUCUCAUACUACUGCUUCGAUACAUAAUCAAAUAUUUUGAAAAAAAAAAAAAAACACUAACAAUUUUCAUAUCGAAUUCGAAGUGCCAUGCUAUUAUUACUUAAUAUUAAGAAUUCAUAUGGCGAAGGCAUAGUCUUCUUUUUUCUCUCAAAUAAAAAACUCAUUGGCGCCAAGCGUGAGGGAAUGCUAGACGUUUGGUACUUGCUCCGGCGGCCAGGAGAAAAGACCCCAUGGAGGCGGCCAAUCCCAUGCAUAUUGUCUGUACAUCGGGUCGCACAAAUUGCAUAGUAUCAUAAAUUGCUAUCCCGGGUAUUACCCAUCCGCCAGGAGAGUUGAUAAAUAAAUACAAAUCCUUGGUCUCGUUCUCUAUACUGAGAUAUACCAUAAUACCAAUAAGUUGAUUCGAGAUAUCGCUCUCAACCAUUUGACCUAAAAAAAGUAAUCUUUCUCGAUAAAGUCGGUUGAUUAGGAUAAAACAGUAUCCUUUCGGAGCCGUACAGGCAUCUUUUGAUGCAUACGGUUCAACAAAACUUGCGAAAAACAAAUCAAUGUGUAGCUCCUAGCCCCUUUCCUUUCUUUUUUCCUCGCUUCUAUCGAGGGGCUUUUCUUCCGGUUUUCAAGAACGCUGAGUUUAGCCGGUUUCCUAGACCUAUAAUAUUCUAAUAUAAAAAAGAAAUUCACUAAACUUAUCGACUUAUCGAACUAACUUUUCAUUGAUGUAUUUUUUCAUCGAGAUCCGAUCCAAAAAUCACGAUGCCAUUUUCUUGUUCCUGAAUUGAAUGGGCUUCUUCCAUUUUUUUAGGUUUAGGCUCUACUCCGAGUAAGGAUUCGCCCGAUUUUGAUUUGCACAUAUAAGACAAAUGACCCCAAUACCACGUCUCUUUUUUGCUAUGACUUACCCCUUUUUUAAUUCAUUUCUUUCAUGUCUUCCGCCAAAUAUUUGACAUAUUCAUCAUAUUUAGCAUUCCGUUGAUUAACGUUUGAGAUCGCUUUUCGAAUAAAGGAAUCGUUUAUGAUAUAAGUAAUAAUCAUAGAUAUAUUACCAAUUGGGUUUUUCUAAACGGAGCCUGGAUACCUCAUUUUAUUGGUCCAGCCAAGACGACCAUAAAAUUGAUUUAUUGCUAAUAUUAAUCUGGAUGCUUCCUCACGAAAUAGAUCUAAUUGCACUUCAUUGCAUUUCACGCUACAAAUUUUUGAUAAUUCAAUCAAUUUUUUGGGCGAAACAGAGGAUAUCUCGAUCGGGGGAGAGAACGGGGAAAUCCCAUAUGACCCAAUAGAUCUGACAAGUCGCACUAUAUGUCAACCCAAGAUGGAUGCUUGUCCCCGGGACUUCGAUAAGGUACUUUUGGAACACCAAUAGGCAUAAAAUGAAAGAAAAAAGAAUUAAGUACUCUAGUUCACUUUGAUGUGGAAGCGUAAUAAUGGGCUUCUUGUCUUAAUACUAGUGGCCGUUAUCUUAGUUUAUACAUAGAUUGACGAAGUUCAUAAAAUAAAGGAAAAUUAUUACGAAUAAGUCUUUUGAAUGAUGACCAAAUAUGGAUACAUUCGCUCAUAGAAAAGGGAAUCAACCCCCAUUGCGUAUUGGUACUUAUCGAGUAUAGAAUAGAUCUGCUUCUCUUUUUUCCUACGAACCGAACUCUUCCAUUAUUACUAAAAGAAUAGAACAAAUAUUAAUAUUAAUCCCUUUUUCGAGAUAAUCCCCUGAAAAAAGGGGUACAUAGCAUAGUUUUUUUCAAUGCAAUAAAGUUACAUAGUGUCUAUUUUUUAUUAAUAAAGGGGUAGUCCAUGGGUUUGCCUUGGUAUCGUGUUCAUACCGUCGUAUUGAAUGAUCCCGGUCGUUUGAUUGCUGUCCAUAUAAUGCAUACAGCCCUGGUUGCGGGUUGGGCCGGUUCAAUGGCUCUAUAUGAAUUAGCUGUUUUUGAUCCUCCGAUCCAGUUCUUGAUCCAAUGUGGAGACAAGGCAUGUUCGUUAUACCCUUCAUGACUCGUUUAGGAAUAACCGAUUCAUGGGGUGGUUGGAGUAUUACAGGGGGGACAGUAACGAAUCCGGGUAUUUGGAGUUACGAAGGUGUAGCGGGGGCACAUAUUGUGUUUUCCGGAUUGUGCUUCUUGGCAGCUAUCUGGCAUUGGGUGUAUUGGGAUCUAGCAAUAUUUGUUGAUGACCGUACAGGAAAACGUUCUUUGGAUUUGCCUAAAAUCUUUGGAAUUCAUUUAUUUCUCUCAGGAGUGGCUUGCUUUGGUUUUGGGACAUUUCAUGUAACAGGAUUGUAUGGUCCUGGAAUAUGGGUGUCUGAUCCGUAUGGACUAACUGGAAAGGUACAAUCUGUAAAUCCAGCAUGGGGUGUGGAAGGUUUUGAUCCUUUUGUUCCAGGAGGAAUAGCCUCUCAUCAUAUUGCGGCAGGGACAUUGGGCAUAUUAGCAGGCUUAUUCCAUCUCAGUGUCCGCCCGCCACAACGCUUAUACAAAGGAUUACGUAUGGGCAAUAUUGAAACCGUUCUUUCCAGCAGCAUCGCUGCUGUCUUUUUUGCAGCGUUUGUUGUUGCUGGAACUAUGUGGUAUGGGUCAGCAACUACCCCCAUCGAAUUAUUUGGUCCACCCGUUAUCAAUGGGAUCAGGGAUACUUUCAGCAAGAAAUAUAUCGAAGAGUCAGUGCUGGACUAGCCGAAAAUCAAAGUUUAUCAGAAGCUUGGUCUAAAAUUCCUGAAAAAUUAGCUUUUUAUGAUUACAUCGGAAAUAAUCCUGCGAAAGGGGGAUUAUUCAGAGCGGGUUCAAUGGAUAACGGGGAUGGAAUAGCUGUCGGGUGGUUAGGACACCCUAUAUUUAGAGAUAAAGAAGGGCGUGAACUUUUUGUACGUCGUAUGCCUACUUUUUUUGAAACAUUUCCAGUUGUUUUGGUAGACGGAGAUGGAAUUGUUAGAGCCGACGUUCCUUUUCGAAGGGCAGAAUCGAAGUAUAGUGUCGAACAAGUAGGUGUAACCGUUGAGUUCUAUGGUGGCGAGCUGAAUGGCGUGAGUUAUAGUGAUCCUGCUACUGUGAAAAAAUAUGCUAGACGUGCUCAAUUGGGUGAAAUUUUUGAAUUAGAUCGUGCUACUUUGAAAUCCGAUGGUGUUUUUCGUAGCAGCCCAAGGGGCUGGUUUACGUUUGGACACGCUUCAUUUGCUCUGCUUUUCUUCUUCGGACACAUUUGGCAUGGUGCUAGAACCUUGUUCAGAGAUGUUUUUGCUGGUAUUGACCCGGAUUUGGACGCUCAAGUGGAAUUUGGAGUAUUCCAAAAACUUGGAGAUCCAACUACAAGAAGACAAGUAGUCUGAUGCAGCAUUGCUCUACUAUUUUAGUUUCUCACUUCUGCUUCUAUUUUCGAUUUGUGCUUUUUAUUUAAAAUAAGGUAUAAGGUACUGGAGAAAUAUGGAUUUAAAUCGCCGCCCUUUUUGAUUCUUUUUUUCUUUAAUCCGGGGGAUGAUCCAAAUAAACAGGUAUGGAAGCUAUAAUUGGAAACCACGAUCGAAUUUAUGGAAGCAUUGGUUUAUACAUUCCUCUUAGUCUCGACUCUAGGGAUCAUUUUUUUCGCUAUCUUUUUUCGAGAACCGCCUAAAGUUCCAACUAAAAAAACAAAAUGAUUUUUUUUUAUCUCAAUUGAAGUAAUGGGCCUCCCAAUAUUGGGAGGCCCAUUACUUCUACUUCAACUAGUCCCCGUGUUCCUCGAAUGGAUCUCUUAGUUGUUGAGAGGGUUGCCCAAAAGCAGUAUAUAAGGCGUACCCAGUAAAACUUACAAGUAACCCAGAUAUAGAGAUGGCGACUAGGGUUGCUGUUUCCAUUAUUAUAGAAUUUCAAGACCACACUGGAUCCAUGAUAAGAUCGUUUAUUUACAACGGAAUGGUAUACAAAGUCAACAGAUCUCAAUCAAUACAAAAUAGGAUUUAUGGCUACACAAACAGUUGAGGGUAGUUCUAGAGCUCGUCCAAAAAGAACUUCUGCAGGGGGGUUGUUGAAACCCUUGAAUUCGGAAUAUGGUAAAGUAGCUCCUGGAUGGGGAACUACUCCUUUGAUGGGAGUCGCAAUGGCUUUAUUUGCGGUAUUCCUAUCUAUUAUUUUGGAGAUUUAUAAUUCGUCCGUUUUACUGGACGGAAUUUCACUGAAUUAGAAUGAAAUUUACAAGAAUCACAAAAUACUACCUUUUAAAUAAGCAUUUAGGUAUCGGAUUUUGAUUUUCGUUGAUUGGUAGUUCGACCGCGAAUUUUUUAUUUCUGUAUUUCCGGAAUAUGAGUGUGCGACUUGUUCGAAUUGAUCCUAUUGAUAGUACAGAGCAUAGAUCUGUCGUCUUGAUCGAGAUGGCUUUACUCCGUCGGAUAUUCAUUCGAGUAUCUGGAGCACGGAAUAUAUGAAAUAGAUCACGAAGUAUUCGAACUAUGAUUCAUACUUAAUAUUCAGACCCCUUGGCCGGAUUCAAAAAAUUUUUCCAAAGACAAAAUUUGCAAUUGCAAGAUUUUUCUUCUUUCAAAUUCCCCAUUUCUGCUUUUAUUUUACUCAAAGCACAAAUUUGAAUAAAUGAUGAUCCAAGGAUUCUUACUCAUGGAAUCUUUGGACUUAGUUUGAAGGUUUUAUUGAAUCAUCGUGGUUCUAGUAUGAAUCUGAGGUUUCAAUUGAUUCAUAGGGUCUUAACAAGAAAAUUCCUAGCAAUAAUAAAGAAAACAAAAGUCAAGCUGCAUUACAUACAACUCAAAAUAACAAAUCAAAGAAAAUGAAAUAGGUAAAUAGAAGAUUCAAGAGGCCUGUAACGAUCAACAUAAAGAUAAGCGCGUCGACUUGAUUUUUUGGCAUUCUAAUUAUAACCACAAAGAAAAGCUUUCUUAUUUUUAUUCUUUCGUAUUUUUAGAUAAGAUUGAAUCAAAAAAUUAAGAAGUUUCCAAUUUUCUAUUCCAUACCAGUAUUGGGGUGGUUUUGUUUGAGCCGUACGAGAUGAAAUUCUCAUAUACGGUUCUCAGAGGGGAGUUCUCUUGGUUUACCUAUCUCAAUAAAGUCUACGAUUGGUUCGAAGAACGUCUCGAGAUUCAGGCGAUUGCAGAUGAUAUAACUAGUAAAUACGUUCCUCCUCAUGUCAACAUAUUUUAUUGUCUGGGAGGAAUUACGCUCACUUGUUUUUUAGUACAAGUAGCUACAGGGUUUGCUAUGACUUUUUACUACCGCCCGACCGUUACUGAGGCUUUUGCCUCUGUUCAAUACAUAAUGACGGAAGUUAACUUCGGGUGGUUAAUUCGAUCGGUUCAUCGAUGGUCGGCAAGUAUGAUGGUCCUAAUGACAAUCCUGCACGUAUUUCGCGUGUAUCUCACCGGGGGUUUUAAAAAACCUCGCGAAUUGACUUGGGUUACAGGUGUGGUUCUGGCUGUAUUGACCGCAUCUUUUGGUGUAACAGGUUAUUCUUUACCUUGGGACCAAAUUGGAUAUUGGGCAGUAAAAAUUGUAACAGGCGUGCCCGAAGCAAUUCCGGUAAUAGGAUCGCCUUUGGUAGAGUUAUUACGCGGAAGUGCUAGUGUGGGACAGUCCACUUUGACUCGGUUUUAUAGUUUACACACUUUUGUAUUACCUCUUCUUACUGCCGUAUUUAUGUUAAUGCAUUUCCUAAUGAUACGUAAACAAGGUAUUUCUGGCCCUUUAUAAAAUUAUACAAAAUCUAGAUUAUAGCGAUUUGUAAUCAACCCUUUAUCUUAUUGCUUGGGGGAGGAACAAUAAUAUUUCAUUGCUACAAAUAUGGAUUAUUGACAAAGAAUAAGACAUGGAGUUGGAAAUUUCCCCUCAACUCCAUAAUAUUGGACUUUUUAUUUGACAUGAAUGAAAUGAAUAGUUGACGGGAAUUCUCCGAAGAGAAAAUGGAUUAUGGGAGUGUGUGACUUGAACUAUUGAUUGGGCCGUGCAGAAAUAUGUCUUUAAUCUGCUACAUUGGAAUUCGCGACCAAAUGUGUCUUUGUUCCAACCGGCACCCCAUAGAGAGGAUAGGUUGGUUCGAUUGAAAAGAAUCUUUUCUAUGAUCAGCCCCAAGCAUGCCGCGCAUGAGCAGGCUCCGUAAGAUCCAGUAGAAUAAGCGAUGUGGCAUAAUCUAGAUUAUGUUUUCGCUAGAUUCUAGAUUACUUACUUAAUAGUAUGGAAAUGCAUUCAUUUCUUCUGCACCGAUCCCGAUUUAUGAUACUAUCGGAGUGAAACAAGGGGUCUAAAGAAGAGCAGCGGCUAGACUAUAUUAGUAACAAGUAAAUCCUUUGUACGCGAAAAAGAAAAAUCUCAGCUCGAUCUUUUUUUUUUUUUGUUUUUGGAUAAGGGUGAAUCACAAGGGCUGAGACGACCCAGAAAGCUCUUGAUCAUGAUCAAUUUUGUAAGCCUACUUGGGUAUGGAGCAUACACCUGUAAGAACCGAAUUCCUUGCAAUUGAUAGUUGAAACUUCGUAAAACGGAAUCCGGUAAUUUUACAUAUAGAAUCAUCCCGAUAUGCGUAAAAUAUAGAUUUUCGAAAAUCUAUAUUUCUUUUUUUAUCUAUUUCUUUUUUUAUAUGUAUCCUUUUAGUUUGGUUGAUUCUUGCUCGAGCCGGAUGAUGAAAAAUUAUCAUGUCCGGUUCUUUGGGGGGAUGGAUCUAUAAGAAUUCGCCUAUCCCAAUAACAAAAAAACCUGACUUGAAUGAUCCUGUAUUAAGGGCUAAGUUGGCUAAGGGUAUGGGUCAUAAUUAUUAUGGAGAACCCGCAUGGCCCAACGAUCUUUUAUAUAUUUUUCCAGUAGUAAUUCUAGGUACUAUUGCAUGUACCGUAGGCUUAGCGGUUCUAGAACCAUCAAUGAUUGGUGAACCCGCGGAUCCAUUUGCAACUCCUUUGGAAAUCUUACCCGAAUGGUAUUUCUUUCCCGUAUUUCAAAUACUUCGUACAGUACCCAAUAAGCUGUUGGGUGUUCUUUUAAUGGUUUCAGUACCUACGGGAUUAUUAACAGUACCUUUUUUGGAAAAUGUUAAUAAAUUCCAAAAUCCAUUUCGCCGUCCCGUAGCGACAACCGUCUUUUUGAUUGGGACCGCAGUGGCCUUGUGCUUGGGUAUUGGAGCAACAUUACCUAUUGAAAAAUCCCUAACUUUAGGUCUUUUUUAAAUUGAUUCAAUUGUAAAAUAUCAUGACGUGUGUAUCUAGGGAGUAGUCACUUCAAAGUAAAAGUGAAUUCUCCCUAGAUACUUCUAUUCAAUUUAAUUCCGGUCUGAAUAUAUAGACGGGUCUAAAGGUGCAAAGCCAUUUCAAUUUUCUCGUUUUUUUUUUUUUCGGUAAAUCAAUUGUGAAAUGCUUUUCUAUUUCUUUUCUAGAAUACUCAUUAUCUGCUUUACAUCCUCUAUGCGAAAGUGUUCAAUUUUCAUAAGGUCUUCUUGACGCGUAUUCAAAAGGUCGAAUAAUGUAUGUAUAUUGGACUUUUUGAGACAAUUAUAGAUCCUGGGAGACAUUUCUGAUUGGUCAAUAAAAAUCGAUUUCAAUGCGAUUUCUUUUUUCUUUUUCGUUAGUUUAGCCAAUCUAUCAUGAAAAGUAAAAAAGGGUAAAGUAACCUUGUAUUGAUUGUUCUCUAAAGGUAAGUUUUCGUCUUCUGCCUGGAGAAAGGGAAUAAAUAAAUCAAUCAAACUCCGGGAGGCUUCAUGAAGUGCUUCUUUAGGAGUUAAACUUCCGUUUGUCCAUAUUUCUAGAAAAAGGAUCUCUUGUUUUUCAUUGCCAUUCCCAUAAGACUGAAUACUAUGAUUCGCAUUUCGAACAGGCAUGAAUACAGCAUCGAUAGGAUAACAAUUUCCGUCUUGAAAGGUAUUUGGCGUUUUUAUAUUAUAUCCUCGACUCCUCUCGAUUUGUAAUCCAAUAGACAAAUCAAUUGGUUCUGUUAGGCUAGCUAUGUGCUGCGUAUUAUCAACGAUUUCCACAGAAGGCGGCAAGAGGAUGUCUUGAGCAGUUACAUAUCCCGGGCCUUUGACACAAAUAAGCGCGUCACAAGUUCCAUAAAGAUUACUUCUCAAUACAAUAUCUUUCAAAUUCAUUAAAAUUUCAUGUACCGAUUCUUGAAUACCCACUAUGGUAGAAUAUUCGUGUGGAAUUUUUUCAGAUUUUGCGCGUGUAAUACAUGUUCCUUCUAUUUCUCCAAGCAAAACUCUUCGCAUCGCAAUGCCUAUUGUGUCGGCUUGACCUUUCAUAAGUGGAGACAAAAUAAAGCGCCCAUAAUAAAGACGCUUACUGUCUGCUCUUGAUUCAACACACUUCCACUGUAGUGUCCGAGUAGAUACUUUUACUUUCUCUCGAACCAUAGUAAUAUUAUUUGUCAGAUCAUUGAGUCAUUUAUUUCUCUUGAAAUCUCUUCAAUGUUUAUUUCUACACCCGUCUUUUUUUAGGGGGUCUGCAACCAUUGUGUGGCAUAGGGGUUACAUCCCGUACGAAAUUUAAAAGGAUACCGCUUCUACGAAUAGCUCGUAAUGCCGCAUCUCUUCCGAGACCAGGACCCUUUAUCAUGACUUCUGCUCGUUGCAUACCUUGAUCCGCUACUGCUCGAAUAGCAUUUCCUGCUGCGGUUUGAGCAGCAAAAGGCGUACCUCUUCUUGUACCCCUGAAUCCACAAGUACCGGCCGAGGACCAAGAAAUUACCCGACCCCGGACAUCUGUAACAGUCACAAUGGUGUUGUUGAAACUUGCUUGAACAUGAAUAACGCCCUUUGGUAUUCGACGUCCACUUUUACGUGAACCGAUCCGUCCCGGCCUACGUGAACCACUUCGUGGUGGAGAUUUUGCCAUAUUUGAUCAUUUCAUAAAUAUAAGUCAGAGAUAUAUGGAUAUAUCCAUUUCAUGUCAAAACCGAUCUUUUAUGUUGAUUUGUUCAUCGGUUACUUUCUAAACUUUUCGAAAGAUUAUCCUUGUCUUUGUUUAUGUCUCGGGUUGGAACAAAUUACUAUAAUCCGUCCCCUCCUGCGGAUCAGUCGACAUUUUUCACAAAUUUUACGAACUGAAGCCCUUAUUUUCAUAAUUGUUAUUCCUUAAAUGAAUUUCGAAUCUCCUUAUUGGAAGUUGGAAGAAAAUAAGUUUCUUGAAAUUUUUGAACCGCGAUUUGUAUCCCCCUGAAAGGAAUGUUGAAAAAUCACCUAAUCACUCAAAUCCUUUUGUGUAGUCUAUAUAUUAUUAUUAUAUCCUCCAGUUGAAUCUGAAUCAUAACGACUUCCUUCAAUUUUGCCUCUAGCCACCGGGAGUAGAUGUAGAAAAACGGGUCGCAUCCCUCCUGAAACAUAAUCUAGAAUCUUACUUCGCUCUCUAAACUAUCUAAAAGAACCCGGAGCAUACCUUUGGUAAGUUAUUCGGUAAUUAAACCUCGAGGAAUCCUCCCUUUUUUUUUCUCACAACAUAAAAGUAAGCUCCAAAUACAAUUCGGAUAGCAGAAUAAUUACCAUAUAUAACACAAAAUUUCUCCACCGAUUCUUUCCAGUCGAGCCGCUCGGUCUGUCAUUAUACCCCGAGAAGUAGAGAGAAUUACAAUCCCCAUCCCAUCUAAAAUUCUAGGAAUUCGUCGAUAGUUAAAAUAGAUUCGUAGACCGGGUCGACUGAUUCGUUUUAAAUUUAAAAUGGGUCUAUACGGCCCUUUCCUAUUCCUUCGAUGUCGUAGGGUUAAAACCAAAAACUCUUUUUUGUUUUUGUUUUCCACGAGUUUCCUUGCGUUUUCGAUAAAACCCUCUCGCAAAAGGAUUUUAACAACGUUUUCGGUGAUGUUAGUAGAUGCUAUUCGAACCGUUCCCUUUCUAUUCAUGUCAGCAUUUCGUAUAGAAGUUAUUAUGUCAGCAAUAGUGUCCUUGCCCAUGAUAAACUGAAAAUUUUGUUGCUUCCAAAUUUUGAUAUAAUCAACAUGUUCUUUUUUUUAUGAAAAUUAUUAAAAGUAUAUGCGUGAGACAUACUCUACUAAAUUUUGAUUUAUCUAUUUUAUUUUCAUACUAUCACUAUAUCGCGGUCCCCUCUUAUAAUACUUCAGGUGCUAAUGAAACUAUUUUAGUAAAAUUCAACUGUCUCAAUUCCCGGGCGAUCGCACCAAAAACUCGAGUUCCCUUUGGAUUUCCUUCGUGAUCAAUGACAACUGCAGCAUUGUCAUCGUACCGUAUUAUCAUACCGUUAUCACGUCUGAGUUCUUUACAAGUACGUACAAUUACAGCUCUGAUCACUUCUGAUCUUUCUAGAGGCGUAUUGGGUACUGCUUCCUUGAUCACAGCAACAAUAACGUCACCAAUAUGAGCAUAUCUACGAUUACUGGCUCCUAUGAUUCGAAUACACAUCAAUUCUCGGGCACCGCUAUUGUCUGCUACAUUCAAAUGGGUUUGAGGUUGAAUCAUAUCGUUUUUUGAGUCCGUUUUUUUAAUGUUUAAUUUAAAGUAAAGCACUGAAAGGACGAAGUAAAAAAAAAAAGGGAAGACCCGCAUUUUUUAUACCCAAGAUUUAUUUCCUUUGUUUCGACAUUCCUAUCCCGAAAUAAUGAAUUGAGUUCUUAUAGGCAUUUUGGACGCCGCUAUUGAAAUAGCCUUUCGAGCUAUAUUUUCAGCUACUCCACUCAUUUCAUAAAGUAUUCUACCCGGUUUAACGACGGCUACCCAAUAUUCGGGGGAUCCUUUACCGGACCCCAUACGGGUUUCCGUGGGUCUUAGUGUAACGGGUUUGUCUGGAAAGAUACGUACCCAUAUUUUUCCACCGCGCCGUACAUUUCGUGUCAUUGCGCGGCGCCCCGCUUCGAUUUGUCUAGAUGUGAUCCAAGCGGGUUCAAGUGCUUGAAGAGCAUAUCUGCCGAAACAAAUAUGAUUACCUCGAUAAGAUAUCCCUUUCAUUCUUCCUCUAUGUUGUUUACGGAAUCUUGUUCUUUUGGGGUUAUAAUUGAUGGUUCUUUCUCAAUGCCAUCUCUACUACAGAACUGGACAUGAGAGUUUCUUCUCAUCCAGCUCCUCGCGAAUGAAAGGACUAAAAACGAUUUUAUCAAGAUAUAGGGGAAUUUAAUGAAUAAUAUACUGAAGCAUAGGAUUUUUUGAAAGUUCAUCUAAUUAAUCUAUUCUAAAUUUGUAUAUCAUGUUUAGAUAUAGAAUUGAAACAUUUAUGUUCUAUUUAUAGAUAAUCUCAAUGUCUUUUUUUUUUUUUUAUCGUUAUAACAAAUCUUUAUUUUGUUUUGCCCUUUACCAUAUCGGAUCGAGCAAAAUGAAUCAAUCCAAUAAAAUCAAAAAAUAAACCUUUCGCGGGCGAAUAUUUACUCUUUCAAUAUCUAUUUCAGUUGUAGGGUUAGUUCAUGACCUCUACGAAUAAAAGAAUAGUUUAGUUCCUGGGUUCGUUUCGCCAUCCCACCCAAUAAAUCAUUAAGAUUCAUUUCCAAUAGAAUCUUCUUUUUCUUUAUUCACGGGUUCCGUCGUUCCCAUUGCUUCUCGAUUAAUGGUUAGGUCUGAAUUCUCCAACGGAGCCCUUAAUGAAAUUUUUUCUUAAGUCAAUUUUCUCAGUUUUUAUUGGCUCGGGGCUCUUGAUUUUUUUUGUUCUAUGAGCGGAUUCAUCUAGUUAGGGAUGAAUCAUUAUUGAUGCUAUAUUACACUGUUUUUUAUGAGAUGACUUACAGACCUUACAUAUUGGAAUCUUAUAUCAUUGAUAUUUUCUUUCUCUCUUUCUCUCAUCCUUCCAUUUAUCCGCAUGCUUUUCGAUUUUCUUUCACAACUUCGAACUUCACAACCUACAAUCAGAUUGGGUUUUUAUGUUAUGCAAAUUUCAGUUGCUACAACGAUAUGACCACUAUAUUAUAUCUUGACUGGUUCUUUGGAUUCAGAUAAUACGAAGCAAUGAGUUGGUUAUUAGUGCUAUAGUUAUUAGUUCAUACUACAGGACGGUCCAUUUUUUGGAAUCCUAGCCCUAAAAAAAACCAACGAGUCGCACACUAAGCAUAGCAAUUAUAUAAAAAAAAAAAAAUCAAUCGAAUUUUUAUUCAACCCUAUAGAAUUGCGGAAUUUCUCAUUUUUGUUUUGAUUGAAGAUAAAAAGAGCUCGUUCUUUGUUUGGUUUAUUUCCAUUAAUGGGGGGGCUCUAAAGACCCGUAAACUCUUAUUUUUUUUCGUCUACAAAUAUCCAAAUUUUGAUUCCCAAUACCCCGUAGAUAGUUCGAACCGUAUAGGAACAAUAAUCAAUUUUAGCUCCAAUGGUUUGUAGAGGAACUCUACCUUCUCUGAUCCAUUCGGCGCGCGCAAUUUCUUUUCCGUCAAGACGCCCUGCAAUUUGUACUUGAAUUCCUUUUGUAUCGGCCUGUUCCGUUAAUUCAAUAGCUUUUUUCAUUGCUUUUCGAAAAGAAACUCUAUUUUUUAAUUGUCCGGCUAUAAAUUCGGCAAGAAUAUUGGGGUGUCCAUAAGGAUUUGUAAUUCGUGUAAUAGCAAUGUUUAUUUUUCGAUUCACACAAUUAAGUUCUUUUUGUACAUUCAUCUGUAAUUCUUCAAUUCUUCGCGGUCUAUUUUCUAGUAAUAAUUUUGGGAACCCUAUAUAGAUUAUAACUUGAAUUAGAUCAAUUCUUUUUUGAAUCUCUAUCCGUGCAAUUCCCUCAACACCGGAAGAUAUUCUGAUAUUUUUUUUUAUAUAAUUCUUAAUAAAGUUUCGUAUUUUUUGAUCUUCUUGUAGACCCUCGCAAUAGUUUUUUGGUUUUGCAAACCAAAGAGAAUGAUGACUUUGUGUUGUACCAAGCCGGAAACCUAGUGGAUUUAUUUUUUGUCCCAUAAUCCCCCAUUCCUAUAUGUAUCAUGACAUGUCAUAGUUUUUUUUUUCUUUUUUUUUUAUUUAUUAAUCUAGUGUUUUUUGAGCACUCGAGAUCGAGAUAGUCUCUAUAUUCAUAUUCAGCUAAGGAUAUAUCUUUUAAAACAAUAGUUAUAUGACAAGUGGGUUUUUUGAUCAGAUAACUCCGCCCUCGGGCUCGAGGUUUAAUCUUUUCGCAGUAGGACCCAUAGCUAUUCGCUUUAAUAAUGAAUAAACUUUUCGUUGAAAAGAUUGAAUACAUAUAAAUAAAAAACUAAAAUAAAAAAAAAAAAAAAAAAAAAAAAAAAAAAAAAAAAAAAAAAAAAAAAAAAAAAAAAAAAAAAAAAACUAUGACAUGUCAUGAUACAUAUAGGAAUGGGGGAUUAUGGGACAAAAAAUAAAUCCACUAGGUUUCCGGCUUGGUACAACACAAAGUCAUCAUUCUCUUUGGUUUGCAAAACCAAAAAACUAUUGCGAGGGUCUACAAGAAGAUCAAAAAAUACGAAACUUUAUUAAGAAUUAUAUAAAAAAAAAUAUCAGAAUAUCUUCCGGUGUUGAGGGAAUUGCACGGAUAGAGAUUCAAAAAAGAAUUGAUCUAAUUCAAGUUAUAAUCUAUAUAGGGUUCCCAAAAUUAUUACUAGAAAAUAGACCGCGAAGAAUUGAAGAAUUACAGAUGAAUGUACAAAAAGAACUUAAUUGUGUG
rnacentral:lncRNA from 1 species